CCCCCAAUACACACCAGAGAAGGGAAACCUGGAGAGAUCCCUCCCAAGCCUCAUCCUUCCCCCUUCUUUGGAUUUCCCUUUUUUAGAGAGACAGAAAGGAAUAAUUCUUAAAGAGCCACGGUGAGCUUUUUCCAUCAAGCCAUCCCUCUCUUCCUCUGCACAAGGAAAGGCAACCUCCCUCCCCCUGCAAGGGGCACAUCAUCAGCACCCUCCACUGGAGCAACGCCGUGGGUCCUGAAGGUCAAGGAUGGGUGCAAUGAGGGCGCCCCCUAGUGCACCCCACUCCCUCUCAUUUGAGGAUGCGCUCACACUUCCAGGGGAAUAAUAGAACAAAAUAAAAUGCUGAUGUUGGUGAGCCAGUGAUGGAUGCUAAUUACCAGGGGUUUAAUUGCUCCUCUUUACACCAUUAGCAAUGAACCACUCAGCUUCUGGGAUAGGGAGAAGAUCAUUAAUAUGAGCAAUUCCCAAGGAGGGAGACUGAGCAGACGGGGAGGGGGUCCGUCUGCCUCUCUCCCUCUUCUCUCGGCUUCAUUGACUCCUAUCUACCUAUAGCAUUUGGGAAGCCCAUUUCAUACCUUGCUGCUCUUUAAACAGUGAUGCCAACUUAACAGCUCUACUCCCCUAUACCUGUCAUCCUUGCUGGAUGCCUUCAAGUUAUUUCUGACUUAUGGUGACUCUAAGGCUUGCCUGUCUUAGGGUUUCAUAGCAGAAUUCAUUAAGAUGGGGUUUGUAUUUGCCUUCCUCUAGGGCUGAGAGAGGAGGUUUCUGUGUCUAAUCCACAGGGUUCAAAUCCACACACAAAUACACAUGCACAGCAAGGAUCUUCAGCUUGUAUAGCAGGGUUAUAAAGGUAAAGGUAAAGGUUUCCCCUGACGUUAAGUCCAGUCAUGUCUAUGCGGGUUGGUGCUCAUCUCCAUUUCUAAGCCGAAGAGCCAGCGUUGUCCGUAGACACCUCCAAGGCCAUGUGGCCGGCAUGACUGCAUGGAGCACCGUUACUUUCCUGCCGGAGUGGUACCUAUUGAUCUACUCACAUUGGCAUGUUUUCGAACUGCUAGGUUGGCAGGAGCUGGAGCUAACAGCGGGCGCUCAAGCCUCUCCCGGGAUUUGAACCUGGGACCUUUUGGUCUGCAAGUUCAGCAGCUCAACGCUUUAACGCAUUUCGCCACCAGGGCUCCAAAGGGUUAUAGCACUGGCUAAAUGGGGACUAUUGAGAUCCCUUGCAUGACAUCUCCCUGGACAGUGGUGCUGGUGUAUGUCGUGUUGACAUUGGUCAAACUGCCCCACAGUUUAGUUUCAACUUUCUAAGAGCUGAUGAAGAAACAUGACCUACAAACUAUCUAUAGACCCACUAAGAAAAUCCAACAAGUUCUACAUUCAGGAAAGGACAAGAGGGAUCCUCUCACCUCUGCAGGAGUUUACCAUAUACCUUGCAGCUGUGGACAAGUCUACAUAGGGACCACCAAACACGAAUCAAGGAACAUGAAAGGCAUUGCAGAAUAAUUCAACCAGAGAAGUCAGCUAUAGCAGAGCACUUGAUGAACCAACCUGGACAUGGCAUAUUAUUUGAGAACACAGAAAUGCUGGACCACUCUAACAACCACCAUGUCAGACUACAUAGAGAGGCCAUUGAAAUCCACAAUUAGGUGGACAAUUUCAACAGAAAGGAGAAAACCAUGAAAAUGAACAAAAUUUGGCUACCAGUAUUUACCAAACCUCUAAAAUCAGGACAGUAAAUAAAGAACAACACUCAAAAACAGACAUAAAACAAUCAGGGCCAGCUAAUCACCUCCCAACAAAGGAUUCCCCCAGCCAGAGGUAGCCAAGCUUUGAAGCUGCAGUUGUAAUCUUUAAUAUCACCCUCCCCCAUUUUAUAAGUUUUAGUGUUUUAACGCGAUCGGUUCCUUGUCCUCCCCACUCAUGUCUAUUUUACUCAUGGACUUUACUCAGAGUUUUGCACUAAUCACCCUCUAUAUAUAGCAAUUAUAUGUAUGUACACAGCAAUCAUAAUGCUGGGAAAAAUGGAAAGAAAAAGGAAGAGAGACUGACCAAGGGCAAGAUGGAUGGAUGGUAUCCUUGAAGGGACUGGCUUGACCUUGAAGGAACUGGGGGAGGCGACGGCCGACAGGGAGCUCUUGUCGGGCUGUGGCGCAGCUGGCUAGCCCGGGUCGGGUUAAGCCCCCGACCAUUAAAUAGCCCGGCUUGCUGUUGACCUAUGCAGCCCCGAAAGAAAGUUGCAUCUGUCAAUUAGGGAAAUUUAGGUACGCUUUAUGCGGGAGGCUAAUUUAACUAAUUUACAACAUCAUAAAACUGCCAGCAAAACACGAGGAAAGGAAUGAAGAAGUACAGCCACUAGUGGACAGUGAAGCAACGGCUCCCCCUGUGGCCAGAAUCGUGAAGCUGGAAAAAAAUGUUAAAUGCCUCUGUGUCUGUCUAUAUAUGUUGUUUGUCUGUUGGCAUUGAAUGUUUGCCAUAUAUAUGUUCAUUGUAAUCCGCCCUGAGUCCCCUUCGGGGUGAGAAGGGCAGAAUAUAAAUACUGUAAAUAAAUAAAUUGUGUGGGCUGGUCCCUGAGGUCAUGAAGAGUCAAAAACGACUGAACAAAUAAACAACAAAAACAUA